CUGAUCAACGCGUCCGGGUCAAUUGCGGCUUGCAACACCCGAUCUCCCUCAACGUUCCGCCAGGAAUGGCGGUCGACGAGGGAGAGCGCGUGACCGUCAG
ncrna:unclassified sequences L4-Archaeoglobi ribosomal protein leader